rnacentral:rRNA from 1 species
AUUGCCCUAGUAACGGCGAGUGAAGCGGCAACAGCUCAAAUUUGAAAUCUGGCUCUCGGGCCCGAGUUGUAAUUUGUAGAGGAUGCUUUUGGUGAGGUGCCUUCCGAGUUCCCUGGAACGGGACGCCAUAGAGGGUGAGAGCCCCGUCUGGUUGGACACCGAGCCUCUGUAAAGCUCCUUCGACGAGUCGAGUAGUUUGGGAAUGCUGCUCUAAAUGGGAGGUAUAUGUCUUCUAAAGCUAAAUAUUGGCCAGAGACCGAUAGCGCACAAGUAGAGUGAUCGAAAGAUGAAAAGCACUUUGAAAAGAGAGUUAAAAAGCACGUGAAAUUGUUGAAAGGGAAGCGCUUGUGACCAGACUUGGGCUUGGUUAAUCAUCCGGCGUUCUCGCCGGUGCACUUUUCCAGUCCAGGCCAGCAUCAGUUUGCCUUGGGGGAUAAAAGCUUCGGGAAUGUGGCUCCUCCGGGAGUGUUAUAGCCCGUUGCACAAUACCCUGGGGCGGACUGAGGUUCGCGCAUUCGCAAGGAUGCUGGCGUAAUGGUCAUCAGCGACCCGUCUUGAAACACGGACCAAGGAGUCGUCUUCGUAUGCGAGUGUUCGGGUGUCAAACCCCUACGCGUAAUGAAAGUGAACGCAGGUGAGAGCUUCGGCGCAUCAUCGACCGAUCCUGAUGUUCUCGGAUGGAUUUGAGUAAGAGCAUACGGGGCCGGACCCGAAAGAAGGUGAACUAUGCCUGUAUAGGGUGAAGCCAGAGGAAACUCUGGUGGAGGCUCGCAGCGGUUCUGACGUGCAAAUCGAUCGUCAAAUAUGGGCAUGGGGGCGAAAGACUAAU